rnacentral:lncRNA from 1 species
GAGCAGUAUUGAAAAUCGUGUGCACACUGGGGAGAAGAACCACCAGCUCCCCGAGGCCGAUAACCCCCAGACGCAGGGGCGGAAAUGACAUUGCUCCUCGUCUCUAGGGGUUUUUUUAAUGCAAGAAGCAGCAAACAUGCAGCACCUCCCGGGCCUGCUGCCGGCCUGGCGCGACCCCGAAGGGAGGCUGUGCUGCAGCGCGGGAAAAGGCCUUUGCUGCCUCCCGAAGGCAAAGGAGCAGCCCAGAUCGCGACGCGUGAAGGAGAUGGGGACACUCGAACCACGAAAUAAAGAUGCACUCAGCGGUGACAAGGAAACCGGAAGAGCCACGACGCAAAGGAAGAGUUUCACUUUAAAAGCACGUUGCUGUCCCGAGCGCACCGGAAAAGCCGCGGCGGUGCCAGAAGCGGACAGGAUAUUGGCAGCGCUCGCAGUUUGCCACCUCCCAUUAUUUGCAGAAGCAGCCGUAUUUUUCUGGAGAGAAAACAAACUCUUUCGGGCGACGCGAGAGGAAGAGCGCCUCCGGCCCUCAUCCUGCCCCCUCUCCGCCAUCCGCCCGCGAGCCGGGGCCGGCAGGGGCCCUGGGAGGGGCAGGCCCGGCUACCGCGCCGAGCUGCGUUCGGGCUCUGCAGCCGCCCUCGGCCCGCGCCACCGCACUGCNCCAAAACCAGCGACGCCGAGCAUCGCCACGGUCUCGCUCAAAAGCGGCGCCGGGCAGCACUAGUCCUACGAACGCCAGCCGGUGUGGAAAGAAAAGGUCAUACGAAGACGUCCUAACUAUACCGCUUGCUUUUUUUUUUUUUUUUUAACCUCGUCCUGUGUUUUCAUUAGCUCAUGCAGCGCAGAGGCACCUACCGCACGGUGCGUAACUUUUGCAACCCACGCCAUGCGGCUGUUCCUUUCUUUCCCCCCCUUGACAUGGCUGGCAGUAGACGGUUGACACAGGCAGACGAAAGCGCUUCGCGGGACGGAUCCGCGGUGUUUUGCUAAGCGUUCCCGUGCGUGUGGCUUCUCCCGUCCCCAUACACGUGACAAGAGAUGCCGACGAAGCUACUGGAAUUAUUCGGAUCAGCCACUUCCCACACAUGAUACUUGCAUACGCUGACAGGAGAAGACAUGUUAAUACGUAGCACUUCUUGGAGUUAUUGCAGUGGUGCUACCAUGCACCAAAAUAUUAAUAAGCCGUGUGGUAAUAACGGUUAGCAUUUUAGCCAGUUAAAAAAUUCUUUCAGAAGCAUUAAUUUGUCAGGAACAUGACAAGAUUAUAUGCGUCGUCAGAAAACUAUCAUCUCAUUAAAGCUGUCAUCAUGCAAACGCUUAGACAUGCUUUACUGUAACAGCAGCAAGCGUCUUCUCGCUGCAGGAGCGAGCGCGGAGGGCAGCCAGCCCCGGGCAGGAUUUGGGCUGCUUGUGGCAAGUGCCUCGGCCGCGGCGUACACACCGUGAGCUGGCAAAAUUCGUUGCAUCCAGAUUUCCUCCUUUUCCUUCCCUCAGCGACCAGCGGAGAGGCUCUGCAGGUUUUAAUCCCCAUCUCUAAGCGCAGCGAUGCGACUGGCCCCCGCUGCGUGUCUCCUCGCUAGCACACAGGCCCCCGUGUCGCUGCAAGGCACUCAGCCACGCGUUCAAGCAAGGGAGGAAGAGGAGGAGGCAGCCCACAGCUGAACGUCGCCCUCUUCCUCACCCCGAAGGCCUGACCAAGGGAUACCCCAAAGCUUCGGGUGCCAGAAUAGCCUCCAACAGCUUAUUUUAAGCCUUUAUUACUGUAAAAAUGCCCUGAGGAUCCUGUGCUUUGAGAGGCACGAGGGCAGCGCGAGGGGCGCGAGGAUUUGGGUCUCAGCCGCGCCGGUGCGGACCAGCCCUCAGCCCCUCCGACUGCAUGCGCCCGCACGCGCGGUGACGCAGCCGAGACCCCACCUGCCCCGUGGCCCAUCCAACCCCUCUUGCUCUUUCGCCCCCUCUCCCUGCCGCAGCUCCUGUGGUUUUAAAGACAGACCCACAUUUCUCCAGCCCCGUCUCACAGAGCUAUGCAGUCAUCCUAGCCUGAGCCACCGAGAUCACCUUUCCCGGGCCUUCAUCUCCUCCUCUUCAGCCGCCGCCGCCGCCGGUGGCUCCAGGCGAGCGAUCAAGCCCAGGAGCUGCGAGAGCCGCAACGGUGAUCUCCACCACGAGGCGCUCGGCCUCGCCGGGGGCCGAGACGGCCGCCUCCGCCAGGAGCGUCGCCGGAAGGACGAGCUCCUCCGAACGUCCCCCCAGCUCUCGGGAACGCGGCCGCGCUCUGCGGAGUCGCUUUGUCCUGCGCACGAGCGCCCUGCUCUCUCCCUCUCUCUCUCUCUCUCUCUUAAUCGAGUCGGUGCCCUGGGCUGACAUCCUCCCGCUUGAGUCCCUUCCCCCCAGUUCUUCUUCGUUUCAUUUAUUUAUUUUUUAUAAAAGAACAGAAAACUGCCAAAGCGGCCCCUGUGCGCACACGCAGCCUACCUAGCUCCUUGCUGAGCGCUGCGGCACGCCGCGGCACACGGGCGUUUCGCCUGGCGCGGCUCCAAGAUGGUUUUUGCUGGGGCAUCCCGCUGUGUUGACCAUUGCGCUGCUGCUGAAAGGGAACUUUUCCUCAUGAAGCGUGGGGCUUAGGGCCGUUGUUUAUGCUGCGACAGCUUGUAAAACGCACCGCCGUCCUUCCCGUUCCUCUCCUGAACCGCUCCGCGUUUAACAGCGCCGGCGCGGAGGCCAGCGCUGCAGCCUGCUGCACGGAGCCCUGCUGGCCGCGGAGCCAGCGGCUCCACCGCCGACCGGCGGCUUUACUGUCCUUCUCGCGCUCACGUAGAUGUCGGUCGUGCAGCUAAAGCAGUUUAAAUAGACCAGGACAGGUUAUUUCAACAACUGUUUUCACGGAUGAACUCAAGGGGGGGAUUAACCUGGCAAGGAGGACGGAUGACCUCUUAUUUUGAGCCCAGGAUGGAGAACCAAGGAAAAUCGGAGCUUCCAGCUCUGCCCCCGACUCCUCAGAAGAAAAGGAGCAAGCCACCCCAUCUUAGCCACACACAGCCGAGGUACAGUGCUAUUCAUAUUCUCCUUAACUAGGGGCAUCUCACUAAAUGGCCUUUAUACAUGAACUGGCUCUUGCUUUGUGCCUGGAAAUCCCUGUUAUACCAACAAAGCUUAUUAAAUUCCUCUGCCAAUGGCAUGUUUUCCCCUUGCUGAUGUUUGCGCGUGAGGGCAAAGGUGUCUGGAUGAAUGCAAAACGGGACGAGUCAAGAGUGCUCAGCUCGUCCUUAUGGUUGCAUUUCUAUCACAGAGAUGGUGUGUAACCUUGGGGAAUAAUAAUGACAACAGAUAACAACAAGCCCAUCACACAGGGAAGUUAUGAAGAAAAUCAAGCUUCUCCUGUAAGAAAUAAAUAUAAAGCAGAAUGGCA